UUCUCUCUCUCUCUCUCUCUCUUCCUUUCCCCCUUACUUCUCUCUAAUAGAGAAGAACAGUCCUGGUGUUGACAAUGACAAGUUAAAUGUAAUUUUAUUAUGACAUGAUGAUUCUGUUUGUCCUUUUGUGAACCAAAAUAAGCAUUUCCUGGUUCUCAAUCUCAAACAGCUAUACACGUAUCAGAACUCCUGUGAAAGGACAUUCAUGCAAACAUCUUCAGGUGAGUGCUCCUAGUUCUAUCAACGGUUGAAUGACACUAAAAAUAGCUGGAUCAUAUCCAUUCUUGUUGUAUCAUUACUCAUGCAGUACCCUGACUUAAAUCAAAUAAUGUACAGCUAUACAUGUUUUCCUAGUUCCAUCACAAUUGUACUAUCAAAUAACAUUUUGAGUGCCUAAACAGUGAACAAGGUAAAAAUGUGCUAUGAAUUACAUUUGCAGUUUUGCACUCUUCUGGUGAUCAAAAGUGCCAAUAUGAUUAAAAUAAUAUGAAAUGUCUUUACUUGUCACACCAAUAAUCAUGUGAGCUAUUUUAAAAAAUUAAAAAAAAAGUGAUCUCAUAUGAUAGCCCCACCUAUGGUCUUCCAUUGUCCACCUGCUCUUCUAGUUUCAUCGUUGAUCUCUCUAUCUCAUUGAACAUCUAAUUUGAAUUUUAUUUAUAUAUUUCUUAUGCCAAACUUCAUUUAAUUGAUUAAUCCAUGCUUCUUGAGGUGCAUUUUUUUUGUUAUUUUUUAAUUAAAAUAGUUUACAUGUCUCCUAGUGUGGGAAAUGAAGCUAAAUUUUAUAUUAUUUUAAUCCAUCAUGUCACUUUUUAAUCGUAGGAAAAUUGCAAAAGCACUUGAUUGCAUGGUUUUGGUCUAUUCAGCCGCUUAAUUGCACCAAAAAAAAAAUUGUAGAUACUCAAAUAGAAAAUACUAAACGUUUAGACACCCAACAUGUUGUUAUCCUUAAAAUGAUUAUUAGUGUUUGGCUUUGCCUUGAUUUAUAUGUGCUUUUUUCUGAAUAACUAUGGUUUGAUCUCACAUUGAAUGAGGUUGCAAUGUAGAUAAUGAAUAAUGACGGUUUGACUUUUCACAAUAUUUUCACUUCACAUGCGCUGCUAUCUUUGACUUUGAAAACCAGUUUAAGGGCCUCUUUGAUUUAGCUAUAGGAUGCAACUGAUAAUCGAUUGCUAGUAUGUCUAGCUGCUGUUGUUGAUUUUCAAAAUUACUAAUAAGGGUAUGUAUAAUAUAUUUAUUUUAUUAUUAUUAAUUUACUAUAUCAUAUAAUUUAUUUUACUAUUGAAAUAAAUAUAUAGUUAUUAAUUUAUUAUAUCAUAUAAUUUAUUUUAUUAUUUAAAUAAAUAUAAAAUUAUAAAUUUAUUACAUUAUAUUAUUUAUUUUAUUAUUAAAUUAAAUAUAUAAUUAUUAAAUUAAUAUAUUAUAUUAUUUAAAUAAAUAUAUAAUUAUUAAUCUUUUAU
rnacentral:misc_RNA from 1 species